UGCAUUUUACUUCAACUGCGCGUGGAUAACUUUGACACGGAGCAAACGGUACAUCGUUUAAUUUAAAUGAACGUUACUUUAUGGGGCCAACUCGUGAGAUACGUCCGGUCGAAUUAGUAUGAAUCGUACUCGCUUUAGACCUGCAAAACACUGAUAGGAGUUUACGAUAACGAAUAAAUAAAUAAACGAAAAAUAGAUAAAGGAAGUCAAUUUAAAGGAAAAGUACGUUGGACGCAAACAAGUCGGAAGUGAAAGUAACAAAGGGGAAACACGUGGGCGUGAUCGAGUAACGCGUAGAGAUCGUUGUCGGGGGUUCCAGUUGGGUGCUUUGCUAAGUUGGACAGCGUCCGUCCGAUGGGAAUCGACGGCGGCCAUCGGGAAUCACUUUGGUAAUCGACUAGCCUGGAAAUUUCCAUGCGGCCCACCAGAAUGUCCAGAGUUGCAUGAAUAUUCCAGCGAUUCGCGGCAAACAUCAAACUUCAAUUACUGGCUCAUUAAAACAUGCAACGAUCUUUUUCCAACGGGAUCGAACUUCAGACUGUCGGGACGAGUAUAGAGCCCUCAAAGAAAACCAGAGAAAUAUAGAAGAUGUCUAGUCACGGAGACCGUCUCUAAUUUUCAUCGAGAAGGGACUUUCUAUCGUCGCAUUUAUAGGAAAUUUGUUCUUCCGACAAAUUUUUAUCUCGUACUAUGUUUUCUGGAAAUUUAAAAUUGACCAUUUAGCAAGUGUGAUCUUUUCCUGUUUUUAACUGCGUUUUCUUCGAUUUUUAUUUAUUGCGUAUAUCGGGUGUGUCGAAUAAGUUUUCGCGAAAAGAUCAUAAAAUCCGAAGACUUUUCGCCGGAAAGACUAAGCUUGUAGAUGUCUGUAAAUUUACAUAUGUACAAUUGCUUUUGGCAUCUUUUAUCAAUGGAAACAAUACAACAGUCAAUUUCCACGUUAUUAAUGUCACUAUAGCGGCACUAAGGAAAGUUCGAAGAGUUGAAACGACAUUCAAUUCCGAACAAUAAUUCCUAACCAAUUCUCGGAAUUCUCGCUGCACCUGUCUCCAAGUUUUCAAGUCUUGACAGAGGGUUUCGCAUAAUUUCCCACCAUCUAAUCGCUGCGGCUGCUGCACGCAUCAUCAGCUCGCAUUUCGCGCCACGGAACCACCCCGUCAGUUCACCUCGUUCAACAAAUCAUCCAGGACCGGGUAUCAGUUUCGCGAGUUCGCGAGCCUCGUUCCUUUGUUCGUUCGACUUCCUCAGGGGCGUCAUUUCUGCAAUUCAAUCUCGAAGUGCUUGAACACUGGAGUGGAACAGAGACAAAGAGAGGCGUGCGCGCGCGCAAGAGAAAGAGAGAGUUUAGGCGAGCACGGGCGGUUCUGUAAAUCACGCGGGACGCGGCUGCCAUUUCGGAUUCCCGGCGUGGCCCUUUGUCGGCGUAUAAUUCACACUCGGUCACGUAUUACAACGGCCGUUACAACGUGCAUUACACUAAUGUCAAACAACGGUCCUGGACUGCGCGACGACCUGGCGUUAAUUUCCAGAACGCUUCGUUUCACAGAAUCGAUCGCCAUGCGAAAUCCUUCGGUGUGUUCGUGGGUCUUGCGUAUCUUUAAAGGAUUGAGGUUUGAGACACGACGACCCAUACAUUCGAUACAUUGUAUGCAAAAGAUAUAGUGGCCAUAAAUAUGUAUCGUCGAUACGAUAUUGUAAAUGUUUGCUGUCAAACA